rnacentral:rRNA from 1 species
GUCCCGCCUGCCCUGUGACCAUAGAUUCAACGGCCGCGGUAUUUUGACCGUGCAAAGGUAGCGCAAUCAUUUGUCUUUCAAAGGAAGACCUGUAUGAAUGGCACCACGAAGGCUUAACUGUCUCCUCUCCCCAGUCAAUGAAAUUGAUCUCCCCGUGCAGAAGCGGGGAUACUUACAUAAGACGAGAAGACCCUGUGGAGCUUUAGACACAAGGAAGAUCCUGUCCAAACCCCCGGACAAGGGCCAAAACCAAUGGAACCCUUCCCUAUUGUCUUUGGUUGGGACGACCGCGGGGAACACAAAACCCCCCAUGUGGAAAAGGAGCAUCCGCCCCCACAAGCAAGAGCCGCAGCUCUAACUAACAGAAUAUCUGACCAACAAGAUCCGGCAACGCCGAUCAACGGACCUAGUUACCCCAGGGAUAACAGCGCAAUCCCCUUUCAGAGCCCAUAUCGACAAGGGGGAUUACGACCUCGAUGUUGGAUCAGGACAUCCUAAUGGUGCAGCCGCUAUUAAGGGUCCGUUUGUUCAACG